UCGAUCGCGUCUUGGUCAAUGAUUUUAGGUGCUUGCACUUGACUGAUUUGACAUUAAGACGAGUGGCGAACUGGUGAGUAACACGUGGGUAACCUGCCCUUGAAGUAGAGGAUAACACUUGGAAACAGGUGCUAAUACUGCAUAACAACGAAAACCGCCUGGUUUUCGUUUGAAAGAUGGCUUCGGCUAUCGCUUUAGGAUGGACCCGCGGCGUAUUAGCUAGUUGGUGAGGUAACGGCUCACCAAGGCAAUGAUACGUAGCCGACCUGAGAGGGUAAUCGGCCACAUUGGGACUGAGACACGGCCCAAACUCCUACGGGAGGCAGCAGUAGGGAAUCUUCCACAAUGGACGAAAGUCUGAUGGAGCAACGCCGCGUGAGUGAUGAAGGGUUUCGGCUCGUAAAACUCUGUUGUUGGAGAAGAACGGGUGUCAGAGUAACUGUUGACAUCGUGACGGUAUCCAACCAGAAAGCCACGGCUAACUACGUGCCAGCAGCCGCGGUAAUACGUAGGUGGCAAGCGUUGUCCGGAUUUAUUGGGCGUAAAGCGAGCGCAGGCGGUUUUUUAGGUCUGAUGUGAAAGCCUUCGGCUUAACCGGAGAAGUGCAUCGGAAACCGGGAGACUUGAGUGCAGAAGAGGACAGUGGAACUCCAUGUGUAGCGGUGAAAUGCGUAGAUAUAUGGAAGAACACCAGUGGCGAAGGCGGCUGUCUGGUCUGCAACUGACGCUGAGGCUCGAAAGCAUGGGUAGCGAACAGGAUUAGAUACCCUGGUAGUCCAUGCCGUAAACGAUGAGUGCUAAGUGUUGGAGGGUUUCCGCCCUUCAGUGCUGCAGCUAACGCAUUAAGCACUCCGCCUGGGGAGUACGACCGCAAGGUUGAAACUCAAAGGAAUUGACGGGGGCCCGCACAAGCGGUGGAGCAUGUGGUUUAAUUCGAUGCUACGCGAAGAACCUUACCAGGUCUUGACAUCUUCUGCCAACCUAAGAGAUUAGGCGUUCCCUUCGGGGACAGAAUGACAGGUGGUGCAUGGUUGUCGUCAGCUCGUGUCGUGAGAUGUUGGGUUAAGUCCCGCAACGAGCGCAACCCUUAUUGUUAGUUGCCAGCAUUUAGUUGGGCACUCUAGCAAGAUUGCCGGUGACAAACCGGAGGAAGGGGGGGAUGACGUCAAAUCCUCAUGCCCCUUAUGACCUGGGCUACCACCGUGCUACAUGGGACGG
rnacentral:rRNA from 2 species